rnacentral:rRNA from 1 species
AGAGUUUGAUCCUGGCUCAGGACGAACGCUGGCGGCGUGCUUAACACAUGCAAGUCGAACGGUAAGGCCCCUUUUUUUGGGGUGUACGAGUGGCGAACGGGUGAGUAACACGUGAGUAACCUGCCCCAGACUUUGGGAUAACAGUUGGAAACGAUUGCUAAUACUGGAUAUGAGCUGCUGCCGCAUGGUGGUGGUUUGAAAGUUCCGGCGGUUUGGGAUGGGCUCGCGGCCUAUCAGCUUGUUGGUGAGGUGAUGGCUUACCAAGGCUUCGACGGGUAGCCGGCCUGAGAGGGCGACCGGCCACAUUGGGACUGAGAUACGGCCCAAACUCCUACGGGAGGCAGCAGUGGGGAAUAUUGCACAAUGGACGGAAGUCUGAUGCAGCAACGCCGCGUGCGGGAUGACGGCCUUCGGGUUGUAAACCGCUUUCAUCCAUGACGAAGCUUUUGUGACGGUAGUGGGUAAAGAAGCACCGGCUAACUACGUGCCAGCAGCCGCGGUGAUACGUAGGGUGCGAGCGUUGUCCGGAUUUAUUGGGCGUAAAGAGCUUGUAGGCGGUUUGUCGCGUCGGGAGUGAAAACUCGGAGCUUAACUUUGAGCUUGCUUUCGAUACGGGCUGACUUGAGGGAGGUAGGGGAGAAUGGAAUUCCUGGUGGAGCGGUGGAAUGCGCAGAUAUCAGGAGGAACACCGGUGGCGAAGGCGGUUCUCUGGACCUUUCCUGACGCUGAGAAGCGAAAGCGUGGGGAGCGAACAGGCUUAGAUACCCUGGUAGUCCACGCCGUAAACGGUGGGUACUAGGUGUGGGGGACAUUCCACGUUCUCCGUGCCGUAGCUAACGCAUUAAGUACCCCGCCUGGGGAGUACGGCCGCAAGGCUAAAACUCAAAGGAAUUGACGGGGCCCCGCACAAGCGGCGGAGCAUGCGGAUUAAUUCGAUGCAACGCGAAGAACCUUA